rnacentral:tRNA from 1 species
UAGCUCAGUUGGUAAAGAAUCUGCCUGCAGCGCAGGAGACCCGGGUUCGAUUCCUGG